CUGGUCAAGAAAAUAAGAGUUCACGAUCUAGGAGAUCCUGCUCGCCUCUGAUCUCCCCACUGCCCUCCCGGGCUCCCUUGGAGGCGCCUGGAAAGCUGAGCCGCCGCCAGCCACCCGCCAGAACAGGGGCGGGGCAGGGCCGGGGGUCCGCACAGAGCAUGCGCAGACGAAGCACGGCGCAUGCUCCGCAGCGCGGCGGGUCCACAGAUGAGGGGAGUCAAGACUCCCGCGCCCCACCACCCCCGGCGGAGCUGCUGCUGAGCCACUCAAUCUGAGCCCUGGCUACUAAUAAAGUUCGUUUAAAAAUCAUAAUCAUUCUUAAGAGAGCGAAAGAGGGUGCGAACUAGCCGCUCGGCCCCGCAGGGAGAGCUGGCG
rnacentral:lncRNA from 1 species